GACGAACGCUGGCGGCGUGCUCAACACAUGCAAGUCGAACGGUAAGGCCCUUCGGGGUACACGAGUGGCGAACGGGUGAGUAACACGUGGGUGAUCUGCCCUGCACUUCGGGAUAAGCCUGGGAAACUGGGUCUAAUACCGGAUAGGACCACUGCCUGCAUGGGUGGUGGUGGAAAGCUUUAGCGGUGUGGGAUGGGCCCGCGGCCUAUCAGCUUGUUGGUGGGGUGAUGGCCUACCAAGGCGACGACGGGUAGCCGGCCUGAGAGGGUGACCGGCCACACUGGGACUGAGAUACGGCCCAGACUCCUACGGGAGGCAGAAGUGGGGAAUAUUGCACAAUGGGCGCAAGCCUGAUGCAGCGACGCCGCGUGAGGGAUGACGGCCUUCGGGUUGUAAACCUCUUUCAGCACCGACGAAGCGCAAGUGACGGUAGGUGCAGAAGAAGGACCGGCCAACUACGUGCCAGCAGCCGCCGUAA
rnacentral:rRNA from 1 species